rnacentral:rRNA from 1 species
UAAUACGGAAGGGGCGAGCGUUGUUCGGAAUCAUUGGGCGUAAAGGGCGCGUAGGUGGUUCUGUAUGUCUGCCGUGAAAGGGUACAGCUCAACUGUAGCUUGUCGGCAGAAACUGCAGGACUUGAGGCUGGGAGGGGCUGGUGGAAUUCCCUGUGUAGCGGUGAAAUGCGUAGAGAUGGGGGAGAACACUCGUGGCGAAGGCGGCCAGCUAGACCAGUUCUGACACUGAGGCGCGACAGCGUGGGGAGCAAACAGGAUUAGAUACCCUGGUAGUCCACGCUGUAAACGAUGGGCACUAGGUGCCGGCGGUCUUGAUCCCGUCGGUGCCGGCGCUAACGCAGUAAGUGCCCCGCCUGGGGAGUACGGUCGCAAGGCUG